UGUCAUGCAUGCAUGCAGCAGCAGUAGUACUCGUGCGAACCCUGCUAGCUAGCUAGCUAUAAAAGGAUAGAGUAUGCAUGUUCGGAAGAAGACAGUACUACUAGUCGAGGCCACAGAUCAGUUAGCUAAUUAAGCUUGCUUUUAUUUUCAUAAUUUACAUCUCGAUUGUUUGUUAAAUCUUUGGAUCGAACAAUAUGGCUUCGGUGAAGGCUACAAAACCUGUGGGGACACAGCUGUUUGGGCAGGCCAAGAAGGAGCUGCCAGCUGCCAAGCCAGGUACUGAUAGUACAACCAAAGCUCCAGCAUCCAAGUCUGCAAAGAAGGCCGCACCAAAGGCACCUCAGGAAUCUAAAAAGAAGGGAAAAGGAGGCAAAUCAACGAAGCACUAGCCAAUUAAUUAACUUGCUCGAUCAAUGCAUGCUGUGCGAUGUAGUACUCUGAUGAGAAAAUUAAGCAUGCGGCUAUAUAUUAUUAUUAUAAGAAGAUCAUCAAAGUUACAAUAUUACAGUACUACUUAUCCCAUAUAUACCCUUUUGGUUUAGAUAAUUUAUGUGACCACUAAAUUGAUAUCUAUGUAAGUCGUGGGCUUUGGGCUAUUAAAAUAACAAGGAUGAUCUAGAUAAA